AACGCACAUUGCGCCCGCGAGUAUUCUCGCGGGCAUGCCUGUUCGAGCGUCAUUUCAACCAUCAAGCCCCCGGCUUGUGUUGGGGACCUGCGGCUGCCCGCAGGCCCUGAAAUCCAGUGGCGGGCUCGCUGUUGCCUCCUCUGCGUAGUAAUUACACCUCGCACCGGAUAGACACGAAGUCCACGCCGUAAAACAACCCAAUUUCUGAAUGUUGACCUCGGAUCAGGUAGGAAUACCCGCUGAACUUAA
rnacentral:misc_RNA from 1 species